UCCAGACUCCUACGGGAGGCAGCAGUGAGGAAUAUUGGUCAAUGGGCGGGAGCCUGAACCGGCCAAGCCGCGUGAAGGAAGAAGGCGCCAGGCGUCGUAAACUUCUUUUGUCGGGGAACAAAGGGCGCCACGCGUGGCGUUGUGAGUGUACCCGAAGAAAAAGCAUCGGCUAACUCCGUGCCAGCAGCCGCGGUAAUACGGAGGAUGCGAGCGUUAUCCGGAUUUAUUGGGUUUAAAGGGUGCGUAGGCGGUCCGGAAAGGCGGCGGAAAACGCCGGGGCCCCACCCCGGGCGAGCCGUUGAAACUGUCGGACUAGAGACGGCGAGAAGUACGCGGAAUGCGCGGUGUAGCGGUGAAAUGCAUAGAUAUCGCGCAGAACUCCGAUUGCGAAGGCAGCCUUCCGGCGCCCUACUGACGCUGAGGCACGAAAGUGCGGGGAUCGAACAGGAUUAGAUACCCCAGUAC
rnacentral:rRNA from 1 species